CAGUCGCCACGGGAAUACGAAGGGUGCAAGCGUUACUCGGAAUUACUGGGCGUAAAGCGUGCGUAGGUGGUGGUUUAAGUCCGUUGUGAAAGCCCUGGGCUCAACCUGGGAAUUGCAGUGGAUACUGGGUCACUAGAGUGUGGUAGAGGAUAGUGGAAUUUCCGGUGCAGCAGUGAAAUGCGUAGAGAUCGGAAGGAACAUCUGUGGCGAAGGCGACUAUCUGGGCCAACACUGACACUGAGGCACGAAAGCGUGGGGAGCAAACAGGAUUAGAUACCCCUGUAGUCCCUGUCUCUUAUAC
rnacentral:rRNA from 1 species